GCCCCCAACCCUGCAAUCAGUUCAGCCGGUAGAGCAUGAGAUCUUGGCUCUCAAGGUCGUAGGUUCGAGCCCCGCGUUGGGCA